ACACAUUUAGGAUAUUCCUGCUGUGGGUUUUUUUUUUUUUUGAAAUCCCAGAAAUAAUUCUUUUGACCUAGUUUUGGUCGUGCUCAGGAUGUGGUUAUAGUUAACAGAGCUGAAGUAUAAUGCGCACUUGCAACGGCCCUGAGUCACCUUCAGGGCUGCGUGUGUUUGGGGCUCAGAGUCAGUCAGAUAGGAGCAGGGUGGGGUCAGGGUGGGCAGGGGCUGUCAGGGUCACCGGACCCCUUGGAACCUGAGAGGUCAGUGUGGCUCAGGGGUCAGGGAUGUGGACUCUGGAGUGAAUCUGCAGCUCUGCCACUUGUGGCUGUGUGGCUCUAAGUUACCCACCUCUCUGAACGCCAGUUUACUCACCUGCAGUAUAGGGUGACUUUACCCUCCUGAAAGGAUUCUUUUGUUCCAUCGUCACAACAGCUCUGUGAGGUCAGAGCCACUAGUGACCUCAUGUUAUGGAUGAGGUUUCAGGUCCCUGGGACUGCAGAGGGGUUGGUCUUAUGGUCACAUUUCACGGUCAUGGAAAUUUCCAAGCCAGGACCCUGGCCAGAAUCCACACUCUCUGUCUGCCUCUUCCUGCCUUUCCUGAGGGGUGUUCGGUAGUGAGUGUUACCUUUGGUGGAAGAAGCUAAAUCUUGCAUGGUCUGGAGCCCAGGUUUCUGAAAAGUGGCCCCGAUUCAGUGGAAUGUGGACAAAGUCCUGGAAUGCUGAAGUGUGUCAAGUGGGCAGGUUUACCAUCCAUUCCCGGGAAUCCUUUCUUUCGGUCCCUGCUGGCGGUGGUGGUCUAGCCUGGCAGCCCCCCUGUUGUCCAGAGGUUGUGUCCACUAUGUCCUCCCCUUCCACACGGCAGCAGAGGUCGGGGCACGUGGUAAUACCUCCAUUUUGUCAGAUACGGUGAACAAAGAGUGUGGCCUCUCCCUGCCCUUGGAGAAGGACCUGGCGUCUUCCCCGUGGGGUGACUGGGAUGUUAGAGCCCUGGAAAGGGGCUCCCAGCUUGACCAGGCGAGGUCUCCUGGCCCCUGGCCUACAUAUCCGGUCUCAUCUCCCUCCCACCCUCCUCCAGGGCCUAUUCCUCUCACUGUGUGUUGUUUCAUGACUCUGUGCUUUCGCUCAUGCUGUUCCUUCUACCAGAAAUGCUUUUCC
rnacentral:lncRNA from 1 species